UUGACGGUAGCUCAAUGGCUAGAGCGCUGGGUUGUGAUCCCGGUGAUUGCGGGUUCGAGUCCCGUCCGUCACCCCU
rnacentral:tRNA from 1 species